ACCUGCCUCAAAGUGGGGGAUAGCCUUCCGAAAGGAAGAUUAAUACCGCAUAACAUAAGAGAAUCGCAUGAUUUUCUUAUCAAAGAUUUAUUGCUUUGAGAUGGACCCGCGGCGCAUUAGCUAGUUGGUAAGGUAACGGCUUACCAAGGCAACGAUGCGUAGCCGACCUGAGAGGGUGAUCGGCCACAUUGGAACUGAGACACGGUCCAGACUCCUACGGGAGGCAGCAGUGGGGAAUAUUGCGCAAUGGGGGAAACCCUGACGCAGCAACGCCGCGUGGGUGAUGAAGGUCUUCGGAUUGUAAAGCCCUGUUUUCUGGGACGAUAAUGACGGUACCAGAGGAGGAAGCCACGGCUAACUACGUGCCAGCAGCCGCGGUAAUACGUAGGUGGCGAGCGUUGUCCGGAUUUACUGGGCGUAAAGGGUGCGUAGGCGGAUGUUUAAGUGGGAUGUGAAAUCCCCGGGCUUAACCUGGGGGCUGCAUUCCAAACUGGAUAUCUAGAGUGCAGGAGAGGAAAGCGGAAUUCCUAGUGUAGCGGUGAAAUGCGUAGAGAUUAGGAAGAACACCAGUGGCGAAGGCGGCUUUCUGGACUGUAACUGACGCUGAGGCACGAAAGCGUGGGUAGCAAACAGGAUUAGAUACCCUGGUAGUCCACGCCGUAAACGAUGGAUACUAGGUGUAGGGGGUAUCAACUCCCCCUGUGCCGCAGUUAACACAAUAAGUAUCCCGCCUGGGGAGUACGGUCGCAAGAUUAAAACUCAAAGGAAUUGACGGGGGCCCGCACAAGCAGCGGAGCAUGUGGGUUUAAUUCGAAGCAACGCGAAGAACCUUACCUGGGACUUGACAUCCCUUUGCAUAGCCUAGAGAUAGUGAAGCCCUUUCGGGGCAAGAGACAGUGGUGCAUGGGUGGUCGUCGACUCGUGUCGUGAGAUGUUA
rnacentral:rRNA from 1 species